rnacentral:rRNA from 1 species
GGGCCCGCACAAGCGGCGGAGCAUGUGGAUUAAUUCGAUGCAACGCGAAGAACCUUACCUGGGUUUGACAUGCACAGGACGACCGCAGAGAUGUGGUUUCCCUUGUGGCCUGUGUGCAGGUGGUGCAUGGCUGUCGUCAGCUCGUGUCGUGAGAUGUUGGGUUAAGUCCCGCAACGAGCGCAACCCUUGUCUCAUGUUGCCAGCGCGUGAUGGCGGGGACUCGUGAGAGACUGCCGGGGUCAACUCGGAGGAAGGUGGGGAUGACGUCAAGUCAUCAUGCCCCUUAUGUCCAGGGCUUCACACAUGCUACAAUGGCCGGUACAAAGGGCUGCGAUGCCGUGAGGUUAAGCGAAUCCUUGGUAAAGCCGGUCUCAGUUCGGAUCGGGGUCUGCAACUCGACCCCGUGAAGUCGGAGUCGCUAGUAAUCGCAGAUCAGCAACGCUGCGGUGAAUACGUUCCCGGGCCUU